rnacentral:rRNA from 1 species
GUGGGGGAUAUUGCACAAUAGGGGAAACCCUGAUGCAGCGACGCCGCGUGGAGGAAGAAGGUUUUCGGAUUGUAAACUCCUGUCGUAAGGGACGAUAAUGACGGUACCUUACAAGAAAGCCACGGCUAACUACGUGCCAGCAGCCGCGGUAAAACGUAGGUGGCAAGCGUUGUCCGGAAUUACUGGGUGUAAAGGGAGCGCAGGCGGGCUGUCAAGUUGGAAGUGAAAUCUAUGGGCUCAACCCAUAAAUUGCUUUCAAAACUGAUGGUCUUGAGUAGUGCAGAGGUAGGCGGAAUUCCCGGUGUAGCGGUGGAAUGCGUAGAUAUCGGGAGGAACACCAGUGGCGAAGGCGGCCUACUGGGCACCAACUGACGCUGAGGCUCGAAAGCAUGGGUAGCAAACAGGA